CGAUGUGUGGGUGCUCGGUUCUGCUCAGUACCGCAACCUGGAGAGUUCCAAACACGAUUCAGGAGAUGCCUCUCCAAGUAGCCAGGUAUGCAAGUCUGUUAUCUACUUCUGUGAGUUCUUUUAUAUAUAUGCAAAGGAGGAAACAGUUCUCAUAAAAGAAGUGAAGAAACAGGGAUCCUACUACAGUUCAGAUAGAACUACUUGCUUUUUUUUUAGGGUGGACUACUUGCUUAUUGCUCUGUAUUAAGUUUGUUUCUUCUUAUAGUUAAUCUUAUGCUAUGUUGUGUGCAUACUCAGAUAGUUAAAUGAAUGACCUGAUAGAAUGUUUAUUAUAUUUACCUCCUGCUGAAACUCUGGGAAACCUUGUUUACCAUGGGGUUUACCAUGGGGUCCCAACAUCUUGAUAGCCACUAUGACACCACCUAGUUUUCCUUUGUACACUGGGCCAUAGCCUCCUUCUCCUAUGAGAUUUUUUGAGUGGAAGUUAUUGGUCGCUUUCUCAAUACGCGACAUGGGGAACUCGGAAAUAUGAUCUGGAAUAUGCAGCUUCGGGUAUCUAUUUUUCGAUAAGGUUCUCUCCCUCAGCAAAACGUUCCCUUUUCUGGGUGACAAGAUGCUUUGUUCAUGAUUAUAGCCCUCAUCUUGCAGAUCUUUUAAUUUCCUUUGGAGCUUCUCCAUUUCGUCCUGUACAAAACAAAAAGCUACAUACUGAAGAAGUAAUCAAGAAGAGAUUUAAUGGUGUACCAAUGUUGUGUGAUAUACACCUUGUGUCUUAUGAUUUUCUAUCUCCUAUUUUUUCUCUAGCUUAUCUUCAUCGGUAUUAAUUUCAUUUUGAAUGUUUUAUUAUUUUCUAGCUUACCUUCACCUAGGCAUGUUUUUCCGUCCAAGCUCUACUGUUUCCGAUCUCAAAAGGAAUGGACUGUAACAAAAGUUGCAUCAUGUGACUUUUACCAUCAAUUUUGCAGCCUCUUCAGAAAUAUUUCUGGCACUCUGUAUCUCAUCAGAUUUAUCAGCACCCUCUUCGGAAAAAAUCUCCACCUCCUCAUAAGCAUUUGAUUCCUCGACGCCUUGUUCAGCUUCCUGCACAUCAUACAUGAAUGGAGCAAAACUUAAUGUUAUUUACGCAAAUUGCACAUUUCAAAAGUCAUAGGUAGCACUUGUUUUUCUUUUUACUAGAUACAGUUCAUCAACCUGUCUUUGUGGCAGCAGUGGUAAAUAUAAUUCUGGUCAAACAUGCUUAAGCACAGAGUGAAUUCAAAUAUAAUACCAUUUUUUUUAACAGGAAAAGGCGCUCGAGGUGCCAUCUUCAUUAAGCUCAAAUGCAUAGUACAUCAUGGAUUACAAAACCCUGGAUAUUUGCAAGAGAGAGCAAGGGUUGUACAAAACCCUGGAUAUUGUUUCUGUAUGUGUGGUGGGCAACCUUAAAGAGUGAGUAGGUAGAAUUUCUGAAUGCACAUGUUUUAGUAGUUGUCUUGAAAGCAAAACGAAGAUGAGUUAUUAC
rnacentral:lncRNA from 1 species